UACGAAGGGGGCUAGCGUUGUUCGGAAUCACUGGGCGUAAAGGGAGCGUAGGCGGCGUGGUAAGUCAGAUGUGAAAUCCCGGGGCUCAACCCCGGAACUGCAUCCGAUACUGCCAUGCUAGAGGAUUGGAGAGGUAGCUGGAAUUCUUGGUGUAGCAGUGAAAUGCGUAGAGAUCAAGAGGAACACUCGUGGCGAAAGCGAGCUACUGGACAAUUCCUGACGCUGAGGCUCGAAGGCUAGGGUAGCGAAAGGG
rnacentral:rRNA from 1 species